UACGAAGGGGGCUAGCGUUGCUCGGAAUCACUGGGCGUAAAGGGUGCGUAGGCGGGUCUUUAAGUCAGGGGUGAAAUCCUGGAGCUCAACUCCAGAACUGCCUUUGAUACUGAGGAUCUUGAGUUCGGGAGAGGUGAGUGGAACUGCGAGUGUAGAGGUGAAAUUCGUAGAUAUUAGGAGGAACACCGGUGGCGAAGGCGGCUAUCUGGACAGACACUGACGCUGAGGCGCGAAAGCGUGGGGAGCGAACAGG
rnacentral:rRNA from 1 species